ensembl:lncRNA
GUGGGCAUGGCCCAAAAAAUUGAACAAAACAACAUUCCUUAACUCUGGCAUUCAUAAUUCAAACUAGAGCCCUCAGAAUUCACCGACUAUGCUUUCCAUCCCACUUUGUAAUCUGCCAUUUGUCUAUAUGAAUCUCUACCUGCAGGCUGGACAAUCUUCUUACUAGAUCCCCAAACAACAUGUUGGGGUUAAUUUUCUAGCUUUUGAUAUGAUGUUUCUCUCCAGGAGCAUCCUCCCCUGCAUAUCCUAUAUGCAUUUUCUUGAACAAGAAAGACCCAGCUCACAAGCCAUCUCCUUUGAAUAGUCCAUACUGUCCUCUUCUACUGAACAUCAGUAUCACCAUUUGACUGAAUAAUUUCAUUUAGCAACUAACCCCACAAUACCUUGCACUAUGAUGAAACUCUCCAAGGUAUCACUGUGUUGUCUCCCCACAAAAAAAUCAUGAGUCCUGAAUUAUCAAAGAUGCAGCAUUUUAUGAUUAUUCACAUCUUCUCCUUUCACUAGUCCAUUGUUACAUAUGUAACAGGUGCUCUACAAAUACUUACUGAAAGGUAAUAUACUUCAGAGCAUGUCCAAUGACCAGGGAAUAAUGCAGUUUCAUUUUGAUUGGUUGAUUCCAUCAUUCAUUCAACAACAAAAAAGAUUUUUUAAUCUAUUUGUAUGACUAAGUGAAUAUUACUUUAAAUGAUAGACUGCAGUACUUAUGGAACCAAGAUCUGAAUGUCGAAUACAAAAGUAGAAUUUUAGUGGAUCCCAACUGAUUAAUACCAGCCGUCAAUGGCUUUUGUGUUGGCAAGAAUACUAGGUUGGAAGUUGGAAAACAUAGGUUUCAGUCCUGGGUACUCACAGAUGUCUUCGGACAAAUUGUGUAAACUCUCUGGCCUUCAUUUUAUACAUUUUUUUUUAAAAAGAGUGUUGAACUUGGCCAUUUUUGAACACUGCCGCCAAAAAAAAUCAUGUCAUUUGUCUUUUGGGGAAGAGAUAGAUUUAAGAAAAAACCCAGAAGAAUUCAAAUAGGCAUCAAUGAAAAUCUCUCUGCCUCCCCAUAGCAGAAUAAAGGUCUUGCCAAGAUAUCUAUAUUUUAAUCCCUGGAACCUGUGACUAUAUUGUGUUACAUGGCAUGGGGAGAAUUAUGGUUGUAGAUAGAAUUAAGGUUGCUAACCAGCAAACUUAAAAAGGAUAUACAAAUAAAUAAAUAAAUAAAUAAACUCCUUUGGUCCUUAGAAGUGUGUCCUUAUUUUAUGUUUGUCUGGGUGGGCCUAUGGAAUUAUAAAGGUCCUUUCAAUGUGAAAGAGGGAAGUGGAAGUGUUGGUGUCAGAAGAUGGAGGGUCAGACUCAACCCCACGUUGCCGGCUCUGAAUGUGGAAAUGAGCCAUGAGCCACGGAAUGCAGUCAACCUCUAGAAACCAGAAAAAGUGAGGAAACAGACCAUCCCUAGAACCUCCAGAAGGAACCAGCCCUGCAAACACCUAGAUUUUAGUCCAGUGAGACCUAUGUUGGAUUUCUGAUGCCCCAAAAUAUAAGAUAAUAAAUUCAUACAAUUUUGAGAUACCAGGUUUGCAGUAAUUUGUUACAAUACCAAUAAGAAACUGAUAAACCUCCCUCCCAACCAAAAAAAAAUCAUGUUUAAUAAAAGAAAAAACUCCAAACUUUUUCUGGAAAAGAAAUAUGCCAUCAAAAUAAAUCAACACGGCAUGUAUGAAAUAGCAGCAGUCACUUUAGGGACUGUCUGGAAUCUUCAUUUAUUCAAAAGAAAGCAAAAUAAUUCAGAUAUUAUAUACUUUAUGAAGCACUCAUUUCAUCUUCCUGGUCUCCAAAGAUGUAUUUUUUGAGCAUAAUAAAUUGUUACAGCCUAACAUUACCAACAUGUAUUUUUUUGUUGUUGUCUGGCAGUUUUAAAAAUGAUUCCUGCUAACAACCCAUUCUGGCUGUAGAGACAAGUGACUUCAGGAACUCCGAAGAUAAUGAAAUUUUUUUUUUUUUUUUGUCUUUUUGCCAUUUCUUGGUCUGCUCCCACGGCACAUGGAGGUUCCCAGGCUAGGGGUCUAAUCAGAGCUGUAGCCACUGGCCUAUGCCAGAGCCACAGCAACACAGGAUCCGUGCCUUGGCUGCAACCUACACCACAGCUCAUGGCAAUGCCGGAUCCUUAACCCACUGAGCAAGGCCGGGGAUUGAACCCACAAACUCAUGGUUCCUAGUUGGAUUCGUUAACCACUGAGCCAUGACGGGAACUCCCAGAAGAUAAUGAAAUUAAAGGGACCAUUGACAACCAUUUAGUCUACUUUCUUCAUUUUAGAGAUAGGUGUUGGUGUCCCAGGAGUAAAGUGACAUGACCUAAGUUGCACGUUUUUAGCGGAAUGGGAGGUAAAAUACAACUCCCACCUGAAAUUCCAGGUCAGUGUCACUGACAGACGGAGCAAGGGGACUGGGAGGCCAUGGGACCCUCGAGAGAACAGAGUCCAGCCUAGGGACCCCAUCUAAGCAAAGGACUUUAGAUUUAAUCUAUGUGCCAGAGAAAGCCAUAAAUCAGAUAUAUAUUCUUAAAGUGCUUAAAGUAAACAUACUUUUAACAAUAGGAAUAUACAUGUUUAUUCUUAUAGAGAUACAAGAGUGAAAUUAAAGAGACAAGUUGCAAGCUCGCUGCAGUAAUUGAGAUAAGAGAAGACCACAACUUGGACAUGGGGCUGGGGAUGAGGAAUCCAAGGUGCCAAAGAAAGGCAGAGGGAUUUGGGAUCUUUUCUGAGGUCUAUGAUCAAUAGAACUUGCUGAUUAGGUUGAUGUGGGGGCCAGGAAAGGAGAGGAAUCAAAGGUUAUUUCAGAUUUUGGUUUAAUGGUACCUACCAUAAACUGAAAUGGGAAAACGCAAGGUGGAAAAAAAAAAAAAAAAAA